rnacentral:lncRNA from 1 species
AGAGUCUUCAAAGAAUAGAUCAAUAAUCCUCACUUCCAAGGCGUUAUACUAAUUAUACGCCUUUGAAUGUUUCCAGAGGGGAGAUAUUGAUAGAGGUGUAAGCUGAGCUGCCUCAGCCUUUAAGGAUGCAGACAAAAUCUGAGCACCAUCAUGAACCAAAUAAGUACUACUUCUACCAUCGUGACCACGAUCACAACAUCGAAGAU